rnacentral:rRNA from 1 species
GACAGAGGUGCCAAGCGUUAGGCGGAAUCACUGGGCUUAAAGCGUGUGUAGGCGGAUCGUUAAGUACCUUGUGAAAUCCCACGGCUCAACCGUGGAACUGCUGGGUAUACUGGCGAUCUUGAGCCACCUAGGGGCGAGCGGAACAAGCGGUGGAGCGGUGAAAUGCGUAGAUAUCGCUUGGAACGCCAAUGGUGAAACAGCUCGCUGGGGGUGUGCUGACGCUGAGACACGAAAGCCAGGGAGCGAACGGG